UACGUAGGUGGCGAGCGUUGUCCGGAUUUACUGGGCGUAAAGGGAGCGUAGGCGGACUUUUAAGUGAGAUGUGAAAUACUCGGGCUCAACUUGAGUGCUGCAUUUCAAACUGGAAGUCUAGAGUGCAGGAGAGGAGAAUGGAAUUCCUAGUGUAGCGGCGAAAUGCGUAGAUAUUAGGAGGAACACCAGUUGCGAAGGCGGCUCUCUGGACUGUAACUGACACUGAGGCACGAAAGCGUGGGGAGCAAACAGG
rnacentral:rRNA from 1 species